GCUCCGCAUUCACCUGAGCCAACACUGUCAGCACUACUACUCCGUCGUUGGUCAUUACGUUGCUCUGCUCUUGUAGCCCAAGUCCUUACAAGGACCUCACGCUGGCACUUCCAAGUCCAAGUUUUAGAAGCGCUCCUCGGAGAGCUAAAUCAACAGCGCGGAGCCAGGCGGAGCACUAGGAGCGGCACAGGAAGGAAGACGGCUGCAGGCCAGCAGCUCCUUCAGACGCAGAGCCUUACACCGAGGCAAGUGACGCACAGUAGGAACGUGCACACUCGGGCGUCACCGUGGCACCGCAGGGGAGCAAGAACUGAAGAGCACAGUUCAGAGACAUGGAGAAUAUUCACAUGCCACAUUUUGUGCGUCCAUUUGUCCACCAAGGGACGUUGAGGUGGUUCUCUCCUUUUCUGUUCCUUGGUGAACCUCAAUGCAUCCAGCUCUCUGUGAGACUCCGCAUGCGCCCAGUAAGGUUCACCCAGAGGAAAUGUGAAGAGGAACCUCUCUGUUUGGGAUGAACAAGGCCUCUCUAAAGUGAUUUGAGGGGUACAGCUAUCCAGACACAUUGAAAAUAAAAAGGAUCCCGUAUAAGAC